AAAAAUAAAUAAAUAAAUAAAUUGAGAUAAGACUUGAGUUAUUAUAAUCUAAAUUUUGUAUUUGUAAUCUGGGUUUUGCCAUGGCCCUGAAUAGCCUUGGACGAAUAAACCUUGCAAUCUUAUCAUCUGUGAUCCGUUUGUAUCAAUCUUAUCAUUUGUUAAUUCUAAAUACAAGUACUCUGCAUGAGGAUAAUACAUUUGAAUUCUCUGGCCUGGUAACAGAGUAAGUUAACACUACUACGAGUUCAUAAAAAAAAAAAAAAAAUUAUGCACUUCACCUCCUCAUCUCCUAUUUUUUAUAAGGCCACCAAAACCGCCACUAGUGAUACAAACACCAUUCCAAUCGCUGCCUCCCUUCCUGACACUGCCAUACAAAAGAUUUCAUUGAUAAUCGGUUUUCACUUGUGUCCAUCUUCUAAAAAAGCUAUUCAUUGCUUGAAAUAAGAAACUCCUAAGGUCAUUUGGAUUAAACAUUUACUCCAAGAAAUUAGGAUGCAGCUAACCCCAAUGGCCUACCAUUUUCUUUAACAACAAUGGGGCCACUUAUUUAUCUGUUUACGUUCACUCCCGGACGAAGCGCAAAGACUUUGAAACCACUUUUGUCCGAAAUCAUGUUACAAAUGGUCCCUUUGUUGUCUCUUACAUAUCUUUUAGUGAUCAUCUGGCUGACACCCUCACCAAGCCGCUAUCUACUUCUAAAUUUGGUUACCUACUUUUCAGGACCGGAAUGAAUGUGAGCUCAAUCUUGCAAAGGCCUGUCAAGGAUAAAUCACUAUCCUUGGCUGAAGAUUCUAGACCCAUACUGAUACGAGGAUUAUGAUCACAUCCGAAAGAUAAAAUAGAAUCCAGAGAAUAAAGGUUGAGAUUUUGUAAUCUGGAUUUUUACAAUUGUAAUUUUAUCAUUUCGUUUGUACCAAUCUUACUAUUUGUUGAGCAAUAAAUACAUGUAAUCUGGAUGAAUAAAAUACAACAUAAAAAUGUAUAAACAAGUUCUUUCCAUAGAAACAAGCCCGUUUCAAAAAUGAUACUGAUAUCUAGUCUUUGCCUUGUGAAAUCCCUAAUGUUAAUGGCUAGUAUUUCAUUGUAAAUUACUUUAAUUCCUUUGAUUUGAUGGUAUAUUGCAUUGUUUAGGGCCUCCUAAGAUAUUUCUGAGAACAGAGAACUAAUUGAAUUUCUAUGUUGUUCAACAUAAUGCUAAAAGCUUCUCAGAGUAACUUAAUAUUUUAAACAAGGUAAUUUAGCAUGGUAUCAGAGCAUAGCAUGUUGAGGUUUGAAGUUUGAAUCUUGCCACCGCCAAUUUUGAGAAUUGCUUACAUGUGUUAUACAAGUCUAUGUAAGAAAAGAAGCAGAUAGAGAGUUACAAGAAUCUCUAUCUUUCAAAAAAUGAAAGACCAAAAGGAGCGCUCACUUUGGAAAAUACUCUUUUCAGGGCUUAAUGUUGAAUAAAUUUGGGCUUAAACCAUCUUUUACUGGGUUAAAAUUAUCUUGGUUUUGGCUGCUAGCAAAAAACUGAUGGCUAGAUCACUUCCAGGUUUAUUCUAUAAUAGAUGUUUCAAAAACUGUAUAUGAUCAUGCGCAUGUAGCAUAAUGCUAAAAAAACGCAACAGAUAAAAGGAUGAAUGAGAUUUACAAGAAGUUACUAGGAAAAAAUAAAGUGAAGAGGAACGAGAAAAGAAGUUGAAAAAGAUAAUUGAGCAUUUUCGAUUUUGAUUGAAGUUUUAGCUUAUCUUCUAUACUGGUAUGGUUACAUAUUUUCAACAAAGUUUAAACCGGUUAAUGAAGUAUCAAGAAUGAAAGUUGGACUACAAACAAGAGACUGAAGAUAUUAACUACGUUGUACAUUAAUUCUUUGAAUUCAUGUUGAUUCAUGUUGAAAUGUUAUGUUAGGUGCACUUGCAUUGGACUGUUCAAAGAUCGUAAUGAACAAAUCAACUUCUUCCAUCCCCUAUUUGGCUGAUAAUAGCAAUGAUCAAGGUGAGAUUAUCUAUUCUUUACCUGUGUGCCUGCUUUUUGCAAAUUUUCUUGUUAAGGUCACAUUUUUAGUCAAUGAUACAGAUGUCGUGCUUGUUCAUGUAUUCCCUGGUAAAAGCAAAUGAAUUUCCUUGGUCGAUUAUCACAGCAACAACAUUGGCUCUAGUUAUGAUGAAGUAGAUUUUGCUGACAUUAUGUUCCAUUAUAUAGUAACUCAGUAGCAAGCAGUCAUUUUUUAACUUUCUUACAGUGAAGGACAAAUCUACUAUUGAAACUCAGCACAUUACUUUGUCAAGCUUUCAACCAUUGCACAAAAUAAUACACUUAACUUUGUUUGAUUAUGUACCCUCAUUACAUUAUAGAGAUAUCCUCAUUCCUGGUUUCAAGAGAACUACAUAACUUCUUGUAUGCAUGCCCUUAGAUUCCCAUUUGGUAGCUAAGUCGAAAUCUGCUGCAUUUUUACAUUUUGAUAUCGUGUUUCAAUAGACGUAACCACCCAGCUUACUCUCAUUUCAUUGGAUGCAAAUAAUUUUUACUCUAUUCCACAUCUAUCCGUGUCAAUAUCUCAUUUCAACUCUAUCCUCAAUGGUCUGUUGUCAAAACAUGGCAUUAUGUAUUAUUCAAACCUCUUUACGAUUUCUUAAUAAAAUCAAGUUGCACUUUUUUACAUUGUGCAAUUACGCAGCUAUCACCGGGACAACCUCAUAUUCCUUGCAUAGGCUAUUACAAUUACCUAUCCACUUUCCCAGAGUAAUGUUACCUACUUGUUCUAAUUUCUGAAACUAAAUUUUCAUUUAUCCUUCGAUAUCCUAAAAGUUACAUUUUCCCGUAUUAUCAUUCUAAUUUCUUCUGACAGAGACCUAAUCUUUACAGAGGAAUUUUAAAUAGACCUAUUCAAGUCUUCCCAGAAUUGUAGUUUUGUUGUUGUUUUAUCCUAUUACGAAUUAUUAGCAGAAUAAAGUUAUAACUACAGGAAAAUCAUCUUUCGAACUUGUUAAUAAAACAAAAUUCACAUAAUCAAUAACAGACAGAUUAUAUUUAUAUAAAUGUAACAACAUGUCCAAGGGUGAAAGUCAUGAUUGACAUUAUUACUCUGAAAAAUCUCAACUCAGUUUGAGAAGCCGAAUUAACUGUGAGUAUUGUAUUACAAAAUUAUUUUGUAUAAAACAAGAAACAGAUUCUGGUUUUCAUCAAAAAAAACAGUACCUGAAAUCAAAUUGAAUUCCCCUCAUCAGUGCCAAAAAGCUUCAUCCUUGACAAUGGCGUUCUCAAAUAC
rnacentral:lncRNA from 1 species